UACGGAGGGUGCAAGCGUUAUCCGGAUUUACUGGGUUUAAAGGGUGCGUAGGUGGGUUGGUAAGUCAGUGGUGAAAUACUUUCGCUUAACGAAGGAACUGCCAUUGAUACUACCAGUCUUGAAUACAGUGGAGGUAGGCGGAAUGCGUCAUGUAGCGGUGAAAUGCUUAGAUAUGACGCAGAACACCAAUUGCGAAGGCAGCUUGCUACACUGUUAUUGACACUGAGGCACUAAAGCGUGGGGAUCAAACAGG
rnacentral:rRNA from 1 species